CUCAGCCCCAUUCUCUGGCCAUUCUGCACCUUCCUUGCUGCAUCUGUGCUGAAUCACGGCCGGUGCUGAUCCCUUCAGGGUUGCAAGGGCCGUGGGGCCCAACUCCCUUACCCACCGAGGCAGGCCCGGAGGUCACCCUUUCCAUCACUCAGCCCUCUGAAUAGGCCCUGUGAGUGAGCUUUGUGCAGGAGCGCCAGGGAAAAAAGGGGCUCUGUUUGGGAGCCCCACGCAGAGGCCAGCCCUGUGCAGCACUGCCCAGAGGAGUCUGGCCAGGGAGGGGGAGGGGCGGUGUGCCCCAGCAGCACACAUCGGCCUCCCUGUUCUCACCCCGACUCGCCCAUGAUGGACCGUCAUCCUCAGGCAGCCUGUAGGGAAAGGGGAGACGAGGAGUAUCAGCAUUAGACAAAGCUGUCUACUUUGCCAACAGGCUGUGUGUGCAGUCUUGGGGAGCCUCGCAGCCGCCUCGUAGGGAGGCAGGUGGGAGCCCCUACAGCCCUCUUCUUUGUGCCCUGAGAUGACUGAUGGGCACGGAGGAACGGGCACGGAGGAACUGGCCCGGGGUCACCCAACUAGAUGGUGGCAGAGGAGGAGGCUGCCUGAAGCCGGGUGAACAGGUCAUCUGGUCUCUCGGAGGGACUGAGGGUCUCAGAUCUGGACUCACCCUGCCUUGACUCACUCAUCUGCCCCUUGACUCCGUGCUGUACGCACAGACCUACUCUUUUGGGUUCUCUGCUACCGGGGCUCCCAGAAGGCAGGGACCUUGUUCUGUUCCCUGCUAGGAGCCAGGGCCUGGGCCAUGCCCAGCACUAAGAAGGCCCCGAGCAAACAUUAGACAGAUGGUCAGUGGCCGGGGUUGAAUGUGGCCCAGUGCAGGGAUGGCACUGUCACCUGGAUCCUGUCUGCUGUGAGGCAGUUACCUGUCUGGGAGAAAAAGAGUUGAUGCCAGAGCUGAGAAAGGACCACCACUAUUCAGCAUCCCCGCUAUUCCCUCCUUAACCAGGCACCAGGAUGGAGAGAAGAUGCUGCUCAUUGGUACAACCAGCCCUGCUGGCACACUUGAUGCCCGUCCAGGUCCCCAGAUCUGAGAACCAGCCUCCAGCUCCUCUCCUGCCUCUUGGCCUUGGCUGGUGGGAGCCAGAGGCUCGGUCCUGGGGCUGACUUCCGGUGUGGGCUAGAGCCGUGCGGUCUCCCUGCAGGCCAGGGCUGGGCGGAGACUGUGUAACUGGAGCAGGAGCCGCGUGUCAGAGGGGCCGGGGCUGCACAAGAAGUCCUCAGCCAGGAUGAAAUAAAUCUGCCCAUCUCCCCCCACUUGCCUGCCCUCUCCCCCGACCUGCACAGGUUUGCAAUUCAUCCGCCGUCCUCAGAUGCUGUUCAUGCUAUCAGAUGAUGAAAAUGGAGCUGCGUCUUGAAGAAAGAAAGAAGGAGCUCCCCUCCCCCUUUCUGAGUCCAUUCGAGCCCCCCCCUUCCCCCUCACCAUGUGUUCCUGAAACCUGGGGCUAUUCCAAGUCCUAAGUGAGCUGGAAAGUAUAUCCCUGAGCAGCUGCAAACCUGCUCAGGCUGCAGUGGCCCGGGGUGAAUCAGAAACCAAGAGACAGGCAGGCUAACAAUGCAGCUCCUUGUUUGUGUGUUGAGAGAUCACCAUCAAUGCUGGGAUUCCCGGCACAGUGAGCACACACAUACACUCAUGUGCACACACACUCACUCACACACACUUACACUCUAACAUGCACACACUCAGCACCCACAUGCACGUACACUCGUAUGCACACACACUCGCACACACUCGUGCAAACACUCAUACUCAUAUGCUCACAUUCACACACUCACAUUCAUAUGCACACACAUACCCACAUACUCACACCCAUCUCUUGCCUCCUGGUACCAUCUACCCACCUUGCCCAGCAGAGUGGACACUGGGGAGAGGUGUUCCAUAGCGGGCCUAAGCCCAUCCCGAGCAGCCAGCUGGGCUAGCCUCGCUCUAAGUUGCUAUCCCAGCCGCCUACUUUUUCCUUACCUCUAACUGAGAAGGCAGGGAGGGGAGCUGCAGGGGAGGGUUUGCACAAAGCCACACAGUGGGAUUGUCUCAGCUUCCAGCUGAGAUGGGGGACCAUGAAGAAUGGCGGGAUGCACAGCCAAAGGGGCUUCUUGGAGCCCAAGAAGGUUUGGGGAAGCUUGUUUAAAGGAACCAGACACCCUGAAGAAAAGAAUUUGCAGGCAAGUCUCAAAGCAGGCCGGUCACGGAGUUGGCAGCCGCUCAAGGCCGCGGUGGAGUCAGGGGCCUUUCCAUCAGGCCUGAUUACAACCACUCACGAGCCUGGCCAACUGCAGGCAUUAAGUGCCAAGUACCUCCAGGGGUCCAAACCACCCACAGAAACUGCCCUUUUUACACCACAUCCUGGUGGGGUGGGGCUGGGGGGGGCGUCGUCCUUCCAUCACAAAUGGACAGACUGAGGCUCAGAGCCACCUGACUGCCAGGCGCUGCUGGGGACAAAACUAGAAGCUCAGUUCCUUAACCCAGUUCCUAAAAGUUGGGUUCUUUCCACCAGAUGCCUCCCAUGAGCCUGGUCUAAAGGCAGGCGAGGAAGGAGGAUUAAUGUAAACACUCCCUGAUGUAAAUGUAUUUCCAAGGGCUCAUCUUCCCCUGCUGGGCAGGCGCGGUGCAAACUCCAGAGUGUUUCCAGGAUAGAAAAAGGCCUUAAUGGACGCAGAUGGAUCUCAUCUACUCUGAAGCAUGGGAGUCACAUCCAACCCUAAUCUCUCUCUUUGUCCCCCGUUCACUGUGUCUGAGUCCUGCAUGUUGUCCCAGAAACGUCUCCCAAACCCUGCCUCUUCCUUCCCUUCCCAAGCACUGCUGCCUCAAUGCAAGCUCACAUCAUCUCUUCCUGAACCAUUACCAAACUUCUCCCCCUCACCAUCCCACCGUGCCAAAAAAGCAUCUGUUCAUGAUGCUGCCCAGCUUAAAUACCUCCUUGUUUUCCCUUAUCCCCAGGAUCAGUGCAAGACUCUUAGCCACACAAGGCUCUUUCUAAGCUGCAGCCAGCCCCAAUUCAUCUCCCGUGCCUACUCAGACACCUGCCAUGGCCAGGGACAAUUGCCUCCAGGGGACACUUAGCAAUGUCUGGAGAUAUGGCUGACCGUCACAACUCUGGGGAGGAAAGGACCGAUAUUAUACCAUUGGAGUGGAUGUCAGGUUGGGCAUGAACACACAUCUCCACAGUAGCACCUCUUUUUGAUUAGACAGAGGCGUGGGAUGGAGCAGUAUCGAGUGAAUUCCUCCAAUACACGCAUAGAGCAGGAGUCAACCCUUAUUAGGGCAGAGGACUCAAGGCCCAGCUUCACAGCCUACCCGGCUAUGGCCUACUUGGAGAUGGUACAGACAGAACCUGUGCAAAUGAUUAAAGCUCUGGAUGCCUAGGCCUGAUGAAGAAAGGCAAAGGAAUGGACAUUGUUUAACCUCAAGCAAAUGAUGGCUGAAGCAAGUCCUAAUGGCUAUGUUUCAGUACCACAGGUGAUUUCUAAAUGGAGGAAGUGACCAGCCACUCUUUGGCACCCAGGACCCAAGAAAAUGAAGCCCAUGGGGGUGAAGGGAAGGAUGGGGGUUCAGUGGCUCCCAGGAUGGAGCAAGUAAAUGAAGGGAUGACAAGAACUCAUAGGAGCUCAUUGCUGAGGGGCCUAGAGGUCCCUGUUUCUUCCCUCUUCCUUUGGUUCUAUUUCUGCUCCCCUGCUGGCCCUGUCGGAGAGCUAGGGACAGGGCAGUCCAAGGUUCAGGCCUUGCUUCUAGAACUUUCCUUUGAACUGGAAAAGCAGGAAAGACAAGAGGAGCCUGGGAGGCAGAGGGCAGGAGUAUCGGGGAGGAAAAAAAGGCGAGAAAGAAGGAGAAAGGAAAGCAAGAGCGAGGCGGCCUCUGGAGAGACAUCAGGAAAAUGUCAAGGUCUCAGCAUCUGGAAAACAGACCAGGGGCUAUAUUUAGACUGCCAUGACUUGCAAUAAUUUGUGCGAGGGGGGGAAAAGGAAAAUGCGAAGUUGGCGGGGAGGGAAUGAGUUAUAAGCAAAGAGGGGCUUGAUGGGGAGAGCAGUGCCCAAAGCCUCAGUGCGUGGCCCUUAGGAAAGGGCAUCUCAACGGUGUGGAUUGUCCUGUGUGAGCCAUGGUGUUUACAGAGCCGAAUCCAGCUCAUGCCCUUGUCCCCUGAUGGGUCCUGUGCUCCCCACUGAUAACAUGGGUGCAUUCCCGGAUGUGCCAGGGGACCCUAGGCCAUGGCACCGAGAUGUGUCAAUGAGGAGGCAGGGGGUUUUCUGGAGAGUGAGGGCCAACGCAGGGGCUCUGCAUGGGGGCUCAGAGCUACAUGAGCAGCCCUCUGUAAAUCCUAGGAAUUUGUAUAUAUUGCUGAGGCCUUUCUCCAGCUGGAUUAUAAAUAGAGGAUUAGUUCAAAGGCAGGCAGCCUUUUAAAGAGAUGGUGCCAAACGGAGCCUGCAAACCAAAUACAGUAAAACCUCCUUAAGCCCCUGCUGCUUUAUCUGAAAUAGCAUAUACGUCAAAGUAACAUCAUUUCCCUGGGUGAUGAGGUGCCCUACAGUCCUUUAGGAAAAAGUCUAGAGGGUUCAAAUGGAACUAUAGUAAAACCUCAGUUAUCUAGAAAGCACUGUAUCAUUCUGGAUAGUGGAGAUUUCCAGCAGGCUAAAGGUUUGCCGUUUGCGACAUCACUUUUUUUUUUUUGGUCUUUUUAGGGUCACACCUGUGGUAUAGGGAAGUUCCCAGGUUAG